UACGGUCAUAUAGCGUUGAAAUACCGGUUCCCAUACGAUCACCGAAGGUUAGCAACCUAAAGCUUGAUCUAUACCUAGAUGAGUGACCACUUGAGAAUACCAGGUGCU